AGCUGACAUAUUACAAGGACUUGGGCCAAAGAGACAACAGCUUGCUGGGGGCAUCCUCUUCUCAGGGCAAAUGGCAGGACAGCAACAGGCCAAGUUACACAAAAAAGUUUGCUGACCUCUGAUCUAGAGCUACAAACAUCAACAUGAAUAAAUCUCGC